UGUACAUAAGUGUCCCGUAUUUGUGUAGGCUCUUCCAUCAACCUUCCUGUCGAUUUUUAUCCAACUAGUUCAAACCAGUUUAAUUUCGCAAAGUUGUAUUUCUAAAAUUCAAAAUUGAAACAGAAAUUAACAAAUUAAUUUAUUAACUAAAACAAUAUUUGUGUCACAAUAUAACAGAAAAGUUAUAUUACAACAGUCUUUUCCUUUGAGGUCAAUUUCUGACACGCACAUUUUCAAGUCAGUUGUCAAUGGCGGUGGACGCACAAGGAGAAUCGGG
rnacentral:lncRNA from 1 species